rnacentral:tRNA from 1 species
AGCUACGCGGUCAGGUCGGCUCGACCAUUGGGCUAGUAUUCCAAAGGUCGUAGGUUCGAAUCCUACCGUGGCCA